CCUACGGGGGGCAGCAGUGGGGAAUAUUGCACAAUGGGGGAAACCCUGAUGCAGCGACGCCGCGUGAGUGAAGAAGUAUUUCGGUAUGUAAAGCUCUAUCAGCAGGGAAGAAAUAAAGUCCUUCGGACUUUGGACGGUACCUGACUAAGAAGCCCCGGCUAACUACGUGCCAGCAGCCGCGGUAAUACGUAGGGGGCAAGCGUUAUCCGGAUUUACUGGGUGUAAAGGGAGCGUAGACGGCAGCGCAAGUCUGGAGUGAAAUGCCAUGGCUUAACCAUGGAACUGCGUUUGAAACUGUGCAGCUGGAGUUCAGGAGGGGGAAGCGGAAUUCCUAGGGUAGCGGUGAAAUGCGUAGAUAUUAGGAGGAACACCAGUGGCGAAGGCGGCUUACUGGACUGUAACUGACGUUGAGGCUCGAAAGCGUGGGGAGCAAACAGGAUUAGAUACCCCAGUAGUC
rnacentral:rRNA from 1 species